GAAUAAAUUGUAUUCUAAGUUAAAGUAGUCUAACUGUAUUGAUAGCUCUUUGUAGUGCUAACUUAAUAAAUUUCAUAAUAGCUCAAAUAUAGUGGACAUGGACAAAUUGAUAAUUUUCUUGAAAGAAUAUUUAGGGCAAGUUUCAUUAUAACAAGAUUCCAAAGUUAUUAUAUCUUGAAAGUCAUUUCAAGCCAGAAAAAAAACAUCUCAGUGCACUUGCUUUUUACCCCCUUUUUUCUUGGUAUAUCAUAUAUUUUGUACAUAAAACUUCUUUUAAUAAUUAAAAAACAAUUGAACCAUAUUUUAACUGGGAUAGUUUAAAUAUAUUUAUGAAAAAUCUAGGAUAAAACUUGAUGCCCCCUCCAAUAUGACAGGGGCAUAAAAAGUGGGGUUUUAUCCUAUUGCUACUGUAAUGUCAACAACGCCAAACAACAUUAAAUACUUAGUUAAAGCAAGCUGGGGGACAUGACCAUCAAACAUCUUUUCAAAGCUAAAAAUUAAAAAAAACC
rnacentral:lncRNA from 1 species